GACUCUCGGCAAUGGAUAUCUUGGCUCUUGCAUCUAUGAAGAACGUAGCGAAAUGCGAUACUUGGUGUGAAUUGCAGAAUCCCGUGAACCAUCGAGUCUUUGAACGCAAGUUGCGCCCGAAGCCAUUAGGCCGAGGGCACGCCUGCCUGGGUCUUG
rnacentral:rRNA from 1 species